rnacentral:lncRNA from 1 species
GGGCCACACCUGUGGCAUGUGGAAGUUCCUUGGCUAGGGGUCGAAUCAGAACUACAGCUGCCAGCCUACUCCACAGCCACAGCAAUGCCAGAUCCGAGCCGCAUCUGUGACCUACACCACAGCUCAUGGCAUGCCGAAUCCUUAAGCCACUGAGCGAGGCCAGGGAUUGAACCCACAUCCUCAUGGAUACUAGUCAAUCUCAUUACCACUGAGCCACAAUGGGAAUUUUGUUAAUUGAUUUUUUUUAACCUGAGUGUGAAAAGAAUAUGAGUGGUAAUGUCAGGUUGAGUUUAGUAUAUUAAAAUCAACAUUAGAAUCAGAAUGAUUCCCAGCCCAUAAUUUGACUACCUGAAUUGAAACUUUACCUGAAAUAUUAAAGGUGUGUUCAGCUAUAAUUAUAGUUGUACAUAUUACACAUGAAGGCCAGUUACACAAGCACUCAUUAUAGCGGUGGUUCUUGCAGGGUGGCUGUUCUACAUUCUAAUAUCAGUUAAAUUUUAUUUAUGGUGUCUUCCUCAAAUGAGCCCUGAGUAUUGAGGCAUUUCUUCAUAGAUAAUUUAUAAACUAGAGUUACCCAUUUAGAGCAUUAUUUUAUCUAUUUUAUUUUUAAAUUUUUUUGUCUUUUUAGGGCUGCAUCCUUGGCAUAUAGCAGUUCCCAGGCUAAGGGUCAAAUAAGAGCUACAGCAGCUGGCCUACACCACAGCCAUAGCAGUGCAGAAUCUGAGCCUCAUCUGUGACCUACACCACAGCUCGUGGCAAUGCCGGAUCCUUAACCCACUGAGGAAGGCCAGGGAUCGAACCUCCAUCCUCAUGGAUACUAGUCGGGUUCAUUACCACCGAGCCAUGAUGGGAAUUCCCUAGAGCAUUAUUUUAAAAGAAGUCUAUGGAAGUAAGCCUUUUGGGGCAGUGGACUCUUCUGAUAUUCUCAGUUUUGAUUUAGAACAAAGUUAGUGGCAGCAGUAAAGUUUCUGGAGGAUACUAACAUUCUGAAGGAGCUGGGACUGGAAUUACAGAUAUCUCAGGAUGAUCUAGUUUGCUUUUUCACUGUUUGGCCUCUGUCUGGUUGUGCUUUGAAAAGAUAAGGAUGAGGAGUUCCCAUCAUGGCUCCGUGGUUAACAAACCCGACUAGCAUCUAUGAGGACGCUGGUUUGAUCCCUGGCCUCGCUCUGUGGGUUAAGGAUCCGGUGUUGCCAAGAGCUGUGGAGUAGGUCGUGAGGCAAGAAGGCUUUGAAGGAUGGUAGGAGGGAAGGUAUAGGGAGCUCUGGGUGGUGCCUUCAGUUGCCUCCCUAGCCCUGGAUCACUUAGAAAUGGGGGAAUGUGUUUUAUUUAUUUAUUUUUUAUAUUACUCAAUGAAUUUAUUACAUUUAUAGUUGUACAAUGUUUGUAAUAAACUUUCUAUUGAAUAGAAUAUACAUACAGAAAGUAUGCAUAUUGUGUUUAGCUCACUGCAGUUUCCAAACUGAGCAGACUCAUGCAACCAGAACCUAGAUCAGGAAACAGCACAUUUUCACCAUAGCUUCAUGCCUCCUGUAGACACUAGAUGCUAGACAUGACCCACAGCCCACGACCCACUCAGUGGGAAAUACUCUCUGGAUUUCCAGGAACAUAAAUGAGUUUUGCCUGUUUUUCUGGGUGUGUGUGUGGGUGUGUGUGUGUGUGUGUGUAUGAGAUAGGAUUUUAUCAUGCAGAUUGUACUCUUCUGUUUCUGACUCUUCUUAUUCGACCCUGUAUUAAAGGGAUUCCUCCACGUUGCUGCACAUAGUUGUAGAUCGAUCAUUUUCAUUGCUAUAGAGCAUUCCAUUGAGUGAGGACCCAACAGUUUAUUCAUUCCAUUAGAUGCAGGUGAUUUGGGGGGUUCAUCUACCCAGAUCACCCUGUGGCAGAGAUGAGGACUAACCAAGGUAUCAUGUUCUUGUUAUGAUUACAGUUGAGCUGGUCCUGAAAUGUCCAGCCUCUGCCAGCUUCUGCUGUGUUAGGAAGGAGGAAACCAGGCAGCAGAUGAAAGAUUGAAACACAGUUGGAAGCACUGGGUUUUCAGUCCUUGUAGAGUUCCCGUCGUGGCGCAGUGGUUAACGAAUCUGACUAGGAACCAUGAGGUUGCAGGUUCGGUCCCUGCCCUUGCUCAGUGGGUUAACGAUCCGGCCUUGCCGUGAGCUAUGGUGUAGGUUGCAGAUGUGGCUCGGAUCCCGAGUUGCUGUGGCUCUGGCAUAGGCCAGUGGCUACGGCUCCGAUUAGACCCCUAGCCUGGGAAUCUCCAUAUGCUGCGGAAGCGGCCCUAGAAAUGGCAAAAAAAGACAAAAAAAAAAAGGAUAUAAUGUGGAAAUAGAACUCCUUAAAUCCUCAAUUUUAACCUGGUAUGUUGGCUAUUUUUGUUAAUUUUAUAAAUCUGAUAAACACUUAUUCUGUGUAAUCUAAUGGUCAUUUAGUAAUAAAAAUGUAGUAUGAUGUACAUAUAAAUGAUCAUGUGUUUAAAGGUUCUGAUUGUAUAUAUGUGUACCAAAGACUGAAAGCAGUGUGUCUGGAUAGGGCUGUGAGCUUUGAAGUGCUUACUGAAAGCAAGCCAAGCAGAUCUUCAAUCUUAGGCCAUGAUAAUAAUACCAAAUAAGCCUCAACAGAAAGAACAGUACACAGGGUAAUAAAGUUUGGAAUGUAGUAAAACAUAUAAUCUGUCUUUGUUGAUAUGCUUAUCUAUUUGCUUAUUCAAGGUCGUUAAAGUUCGUUUCUUAAUAGGAGAUUAUAGAGGGCAAUGCAAUGGACAUGGAAAAUAGAGAAGUAAUUUUUAUGUUUCUCCAAGGAAUGUGAAACUGGUUUUUAACAUCAUUUUCAAUCAAUUUUAACUUAUUUUUAUGUAUGCUCAUACAUGCUUUAGGAGUGGACACUUGGGCUGUGAGUGACCGAUUUCACCACCCCCAGACUGUCCUCAGCCAGAUAAAAAGGAAACAGCCCAUCUCGGUAAACCAUCAGAACCAUAGUGGUGGUUAUUGCCCUUUUGCAGCUUGGAAGGUCUUGCAGGAAGUGAGAGUGGAUGUUUGUUUCAAUAUUGUAGUUACAAUUGAGGAUGUGAAAACGCAUGAAGUCCUGACAGUGUUUACAUAUUGCCUUAGGAGCCAUCCGAUGCCAAGUGGCAUGCUGCUUUCCACCUUUUGAAGCAGUGACCUGGGUGACCAGCAGUUCUUUCUAAGACUCUUAAGAGAAUUUGGCUGAAGGAACUGUAGGGAAGAAAUGUCAGCUAAUGCAAUGAAUAGUUUAAUGAAUAUGGUUAAAACUCCAUACUGGUUUCUUUUGUUGCCAAAAUUAAUAAAUAAAGCUUAGCUCUUGUUCUUUUUGAGGAAGAAAUGAUAUAUGCCCAAUGCACAACUUUCUGUUUCUUGUGUUGAAAGGGUUUUUUAAAAGACUGAAUCCUGUUCUUCAUUUUAGUCAUUUUUUUGUAGUGGCUUGGAUUUAGGGGUAACUGAAAAAAUGAGAUGACCAAAACAAAAUAAAUAUCACAGUUGUUUUCCUUACAAAGCCAAAAACUGCAGGCUUAACUGAUUUGGUUAAAAAUUAAAGUUUUAUGAAACAAAUUUGAUAGGCCAAAUCACUUGAUCUGUAGCAUUGAAAAAACUGGAUCUUUUAUUCUAUAGAAUAUGGAGUUUUUUUGUCGAGAACUCCAGCUUCAGGAGUGUUUAAUUUGUCAAGGCUAGCUAAUUAAAAUUUAUUUUCUCAGUCUCUCAAGUUUUAUUUUUGGAGAGAGGAAAGUACUGAAGUGCAGCUGAAUAUAGCGUGAUAGAAUGAAACAUGUUUUAGAAAGAGAUCAGGAUGAUUCUUUUGGUUGCAAGUAACAGAAAACCGAAUUUAGACUCUCUCUUAAGUAAAAAGAUUUAUUGAUUCAAGUUGUUGAGAGUCUAGAGAUGGGUCUGACUUCCUGAAGGGCUAGAUUGGGGAUCCAGACCAUGUCAUGAGGAUCCUUCUUGGCUGCAUGUUCUUGGGCCACAGGUGGAGACCUCCGACAGCGUCAGCUUGACAUCCUUGCAGCGAUCAUCUAGGACACUGCACAGACAGCGUUCUUGGCCUUGUGCCCAGCCCUGGGCCAGUUACUGUGGCCAGGGACAUCAUCCCCUUCCGAUUGGAUUGCCCAGGUCAUAUGCUUCACACCUGGAGUCUGAGGUCCCCUCCUCUUCAGGCGAAGAUGAAGCAGAUGAAGCAUCGAUUGAUGGUGAGGGGAAUGGUUCCUUCCAGAAGUACAGAAAUCAGGGUCGUUACCAGGAGAGGGUCAGUGGGUGCUGGGAGGCAAGCUGAUGAUGAUGAUGAUAGAGCUUGUAUCUUUUUAUGGUUUGCAACGCCUUUUCAGUUGUAUUCCCUUUUUGACCUAAAAGAAGCAUCAGGGAGGCAGGGUAAAGAACUGAUUAAGAACAUGGAUCUGGGGACCAGGCUGCAUGGGAUCAAGUAUUAGCCACAUAAGAUUUUGACAAAUACCUAAGCUCUCUGUGACCCAGUUUCCUCAACUGUACAAUGAAGAUAAAGAUAGCUACCUUGGGGAGUUCCCUGGUGUCUGUCUAGUGGUUAGGACUCUGUGCUUCCAUUGCUGCCGCCUGAGUUUAAUCCCUGGUCUGGGAACUGAGAUCCCAUAUCAAGCUGUGGCAUGCCUUGGCCAAAAAAAAAAAAAAAAAAAAAAAAAAA